UACGAAGGGGGCUAGCGUUGCUCGGAAUCACUGGGCGUAAAGCGCACGUAGGCGGCUUUCUAAGUCAGGGGUGAAAUCCUGGAGCUCAACUCCAGAACUGCCUUUGAUACUGGAGAGCUUGAGUCCGGAAGAGGUGAGUGGAACUCCGAGUGUAGAGGUGAAAUUCGUAGAUAUUCGGAAGAACACCAGUGGCGAAGGCGGCUCACUGGUCCGGUACUGACGCUGAGGUGCGAAAAGCGUGGGGAGCAAACAGGG
rnacentral:rRNA from 1 species